rnacentral:rRNA from 1 species
UACGGAGGGGGCUAGCGUUGUUCGGAAUUACUGGGCGUAAAGCGCACGUAGGCGGCUUUGUAAGUUAGAGGUGAAAGCCCGGGGCUCAACCCCGGAACUGCCUUUAAGACUGCAUCGCUUGAAUCCAGGAGAGGUGAGUGGAAUUCCGAGUGUAGAGGUGAAAUUCGUAGAUAUUCGGAGGAACACCAGUGGCGAAGGCGGCUCACUGGCUCGACACUGACGCUGAGGUGCGAAAGCGUGGGGAGCAAACAGG